ACUCAAAGGAAUUGACGGGGGCCCGCACAAGCGGUGGAGCAUGUGGUUUAAUUCGAAGCAACGCGAAGAACCUUACCAGGUCUUGACAUCCCACUGACCGGUAUAGAGAUAUACCUUUCCCUUCGGGGACAGUGGUGACAGGUGGUGCAUGGUUGUCGUCAGCUCGUGUCGUGAGAUGUUGGGUUAAGUCCCGCAACGAGCGCAACCCUUGAUCUUAGUUGCCAGCAUUUAGUUGGGCACUCUAAGGUGACUGCCGGUGACAAACCGGAGGAAGGUGGGGAUGACGUCAAAUCAUCAUGCCCCUUAUGACCUGGGCUACACACGUGCUACAAUGGAUGGUACAAAGGGCUGCGAGACUGCGAAGUCAAGCGAAUCCCAUAAAACCAUUCUCAGUUCGGAUUGCAGGCUGCAACUCGCCUGCAUGAAGCUGGAAUCGCUAGUAAUCGUGGAUCAGCAUGCCACGGUGAAUACGUUCCCGGGCCUUGUACACACCGCCCGU
rnacentral:rRNA from 1 species